rnacentral:tRNA from 1 species
GGGCCUAUAGCUCAUUUGGGAGAGCGCUUCAAUGGCAUUGAAGAGGUAAGGGGUUCGAAUCCCCUUAGGUCCA